UCCUGUGUGGUGUAACGGUCAACAUUUCGCGUUUUCAAACCUAGUGUUUAAAGGCCGCGAGGCUCUGGGUUCGAUUCCCAGCACAGGAG
rnacentral:tRNA from 1 species